AGGGUGCAGUGUUUGACCCAGUGCAUUGUGGGUGGUUCAGACGCCUGUGCUCAGAGAAACACGUCUGGUUCGUCAGGAGAUCCUGAACGAGGACAGUCUGUGUGCUUGAGCUCACGAAACAAACACACACACAGUGUGUGGCCCUAUGAAAUCAGUUUAAUUUUUUCCCCAAAAAUAUUCUGUGCGAGUGUCUCUAUCAGGUCCUUGUCGUUCUCUCUGUGUGCGUGUCUCUAUCAGGUCCUUGUCGUUCUCUCUGUGCGAGUGUCUCUAUCAGGUCCUUGUUGUUCUGUCUGUGCACGUGUUUCUAUCAGGUCCUUGUCCCUCUGUCUGUGCGAGUGUCUCUAUCAGGUCCUUGUCGUUCUCUCUGUGCGAGUGUCUCUAUCAGGUCCUUGUCGUUCUCUCUGUGCGCGUGUCUCUAUCAGGUCCUUGUCGUUCUGUCUGUGCACAUGUCUCUAUCAGGUCCUUGUCGUUCUGUCUGUGCACAUGUCUCUAUCAGGUCCUUGU
ensembl:lncRNA